rnacentral:rRNA from 1 species
CCUACGGGUGGCAGCAGUGAGGAAUAUUGGUCAAUGGGCGCGAGCCUGAACCAGCCAAGUAGCGUGAAGGAUGACUGCCCUACGGGUUGUAAACUUCUUUUAUACAGGAAUAACGUGCGGCACGUGUGCCUGUUUGUAUGUACUUUAUGAAUAAGGAUCGGCUAACUCCGUGCCAGCAGCCGCGGUAAUACGGAGGAUCCGAGCGUUAUCCGGAUUUAUUGGGUUUAAAGGGAGCGUAGGUGGGUUGUUAAGUCAGUUGUGAAAGUUUCCGGCUCAACCGGAGAAUUGCAGUGGAAACUGGCAGUCUUGAGUACAGUGGAGGCAGGCGGAAUUCGUGGUGUAGCGGUGAAAUGCUUAGAUAUGACGAAGAACUCCGAUUGCGAAGGCAGCUUACUAAACUGCCACUGACGUUGAUGCUCGAAAGCGUGGGUAUCAAACAGGAUUAGAUACCCCUGUAGUC